rnacentral:lncRNA from 12 species
UCCAGCUACCUCUACGAGGGCUUGCUUAAUUUCUUUUUCUUUUUUUUUAAAAAAAAAAAAAAACUGCUUUCAGUGGAAUUUUUAAAUGCCCACGAAGGAAUCAUUUCAUUCACAUUAAAGCUUUCUAAGAAUGAGAAUUACCCAUAGAGCCGCACCAAAGUCUUUUGGCAGAUGGAAGAAGGCUUCACCUCACCCUGCUUUUCAGUGGAAUUCCGUUCAACAAGUAUUGAUUGGAUGCACACUCUGCCACUCUGUGCCAGGCUCCGCGAUGGGUCCAAAAUAAAAACAGGGCCCCUGAUUCCAAAGUCAUUUAUAAUGCGGCUGGUGAGACAGUCUAAAAGGGAGUGACUAUCACUAAAACGAGCACUUGAGGGCAUGAAUUGCCACCAAAGAGCUAUAACAAGAGAGCUUUUUUUAAAAAAAAAAAAAAAAGAUAAAAGCCCUAUUGCUGCUUUGUGGAAAAGGUGUUUUUGUGAACUUCUCUUCCCACUGUGCAUUUCCUCUCAAGGGAAAACAAAAAUGUCUCAGGUCACAUAUUUUAACUGCCUGCUGAGUCCAGAGAGGUAAAGCACUGAGCCUUUUGCCUCCUAAGGGUGAAGACACCGUGGUAAAGGUUUUGAAAAAGAAAUACAGCACUCAAGGCAGAAUUAGGAUUAACACUAAUUGGAAAUGAUGCUUUCAAAUUAUCCCAGCCAAAAUAAUCUGGUAACUCCUUUUUGCUUUGAAUGACUUGGAUUUGCCUUUCCUUUCAAGGUGGGUUUUUUAUGAACUCUUCCUUCAUAAUGACACUUAAUGAACAUGAUGCCCAGUGUUGUUUGUAAGACUUUUACACAUGUGUAUUUUGGUCUCUGAAUAGAGUCAAGGGACGGAAGCCCUACAUUAUGCCUCUUUGUAUUCCCCAUCAUGCAGCACCAUAUCCUAAAGUUUGUUAAUAAUGUCGUUCAAAUAUGAAAGAUCCUUGUUAUAGAAACA